rnacentral:tRNA from 1 species
GGCGGUGUAGCUCAGAUGGUUAGAGCGGGCGUCUCAUAAGCGCUAGGUCCCCAGUUCGACUCUGGGCACCGCCACCA